GACGAACGCUGGCGGCGUGCCUAAUACAUGCAAGUUGAGCGCUGAAGGUUGGUACUUGUACCGACUGGAUGAGCAGCGAACGGGUGAGUAACGCGUGGGGAAUCUGCCUUUGAGCGGGGGACAACAUUUGGAAACGAAUGCUAAUACCGCAUAAAAACUUUAAACACAAGUUUUAAGUUUGAAAGAUGCAAUUGCAUCACUCAAAGAUGAUCCCGCGUUGUAUUAGCUAGUUGGUGAGGUAAAGGCUCACCAAGGCGAUGAUACAUAGCCGACCUGAGAGGGUGAUCGGCCACAUUGGGACUGAGACACGGCCCAAACUCCUACGGGAGGCAGCAGUAGGGAAUCUUCGGCAAUGGACGAAAGUCUGACCGAGCAACGCCGCGUGAGUGAAGAAGGUUGUCGGAUCGGAAAACUCUGUUGGUAGAGAAGAACGUUGGUGAGAGUGGAAAGCCCAUCAAGUGACGGUAACUACCCAGAAAGGGACGGCUAACUACGUG
rnacentral:rRNA from 1 species